rnacentral:rRNA from 1 species
UACGGGGGGGGCAAGCGUUGUUCGGAAUUACUGGGCGUAAAGGGCUCGUAGGCGGCCAACUAAGUCAGACGUGAAAUCCCUCGGCUUAACCGGGGAACUGCGUCUGAUACUGGAUGGCUGGAGUUCUGGAGGGGAUAGCGGAAUUCCUGGUGUAGCGGUGAAAUGCGUAGAUAUCAGGAGGAACACCGGUGGCGAAGGCGGCUAUCUGGACAGAAACUGACGCUGAGGCGCGAAAGCUAGGGGAGCAAACAGG